ensembl:lncRNA
CCUUUUCAUCGGCUCAGGCAGGGCGCAGAGGGCUGGUGAGUCCUGACAGCUUCUGGGAAAGCACCUCCAGCCCCUGAACAGAAACACUUUUUGGAGAAGUGCCCAUGAUUCAGAAUCCUUACGAUGAGCCAAUUUCUCCUUUUCCGAUCGCACUUCAGCCAGCCCCCAGCAGUACGAGGCAAACCCAGCUGCUCCAAAGCCACGCUGCCACACUCCCCGCAGCCACCAGCAGCAGCAGCAGCCGCUCACCCCGGGCACACACAGCGCCCCAGGACUCACUGCCCGCAGCAGGCCUGCAGGCUGCGUUUCCAAGAAGCCCGGUGGUGUAUCCCUAAGCACGUCGCACAGCACAGCGGGAUGAGUCACUUCCUCUGCAGCUCUGCUCCCAUGGCUCACACAAAGCGCGGCCGCUGCCUCUGCGUGCCGGCAGGAACCAGGAAACGCCGCAGCGCUCCUCAGCAUGCGUGAGCCUGGCCGGAGGGCCUGCGUUUCCAGUGGUGCUUGUCUUUUAAAACCAGUUAUCCCACACUGGCACCGUCUUGUCAACUCCUUACCUCCAUCUCUUUUAUCAUGGUGCGAACUCUUUGUAGGAGGGAGAGAAACCUGUAGAAGACCAUUACUACCGUGACAGCUCUUCCAAGCCCUUAUCACACCCAGCCUCAGCACCAACUGUUGUGUGUGUGCAGCUUCAGUCCUGAUCUGGAAUUCGACAUUUGCUGACACCCUGGGAGACAUGAGGGUCCCAUACUGGGCCAGGAGGACCUCUGCAGAGCAGCUGUGGUACAGCCCUACACGUCAUCCCAGAGACACGGACACCAGGCAGAGGCUGAGAGCCCGAGCACUCCUUCAUGCUGAACCUCACAACCAAGACCAAGGGAGAAGCAUAACAAACAGCUGAAUGCUGCCUGUUCAGCCCUGUGAGGGCUCUGGGAGGUAUUGGUCACGCUCUUUCCACAAGGAGUGGAAACUACCUUGCUGAUGCUUACAUUUACAAUACAUCAGAAGCCACAGCUGCUUCACUGUACCAUGAGUAAGUGCUAAACCAUUUUUGAGUACCCUGAAAUAUUUUACUUCCUCCUCCCCACAGUAAGAUAACAAUUUGCUCAGCACUAGGACAAUCCCAUCAGGUCAUUUGCUCAAAACAGUGCCACAGGCAGACGGAUGGUGGCAGCCCAGAAGGCACCAAACUGCUCCCGGAAGGCACAGAGGUGCAGCAGGCAGCACACAUCAGUGAGACGUGGACUGGAUGAAGGCUGAUUCCAAACCUAACAGAAAGUUUGUUUUGUUGUUGGUCCCUGUGUCAGAGCACAGUGAGAAAAUCAUACCCAACGCACCUCAAAACCAAGAACCCACAAACAAAUCAACCCCGGGGUAUUUCUGUAAAAAGAAGGUUUUCCUGAGGAUGACUCAAACUUAAAUAAAAUACCAAUGCCUUCUCCACAGUGAGUAUUUAGUGCAGCCAAUUAUCCCAGAAUUAAGGCCUUUGUGAAAAUAAAGUGCUACUUGUUUCUUUUUUUUCCUCCGUAUUUCAAUCCUUCAGCGUAACCUUCAUUUAACACAGAAAUGCACAAGUAGAUUCUUCAUGCUAUCAUCAGAAGUUUCACUUCUCCGCCCAGUUCUGCUUUAACAUGGUCAUUACACUUCCAUUCAGCACGAUGUUUCACAUCACACAGGAAAUUUAAAGCGUGUCACCGAGCACUUCAGGCUGUGACCAACACCUGUGCUCGAACGCUCAUCUCAAUUUAGGAGCACCUUGGCACAGUAAGAGGUUCUGUUUGUGCUCACGUGAUUUUUAAAUCCCAAAUGGAUUUUGUACCCUUAAAGUCACAUCUCAGAAAAGGCCAGUUCUGCCACUAGGACAAAUUAAGAUAGGUUUCCAGAACCGUCUGUUUGAACCGACCAAAAGUAAUGCUUUCCUACUAAGGCACUUCCCCAGAAAUUUUCUAAUUCUCC